rfam:Mus musculus chromosome 2, GRC primary reference assembly.
UUUAAGGCUUUUCUUAAAGCCACAGAAUACACCAAUACAUUUCUCU